UGAGGAAUAUUGGUCAAUGGGCGGAAGCCUGAACCAGCCAAGUCGCGUGAGGGACGACGGUCCUAUGGAUUGUAAACCUCUUUUGCCGGGGAGCAAAGCCGACCUUGCGAGGUUGGAAGGAGAGUACCCGGAGAAAAAGCAUCGGCUAACUCCGUGCCU
rnacentral:rRNA from 1 species